rnacentral:tRNA from 2 species
GCUUUUGAAGGAUAACAGCGCAUCCAUUGGCCUUAGGAGCCAAAAAUUCUUGGUGCAAAUCCAAGUAAAAGCU